AUGAGGACCUGUGAGGAGUGUCUAAGACAGUUCCCACAAAGGGUACAGUGGAGAAAAAAAAUCUGUGCAAACGAAGAAAGGCAACACUGGAAACUCAUGAGAGCAGAGAAGAAGAAAAAGUUCAUAGGAGGUGACAGUGGGAAUGAAGAUGAGGCUGGAGAGGAGGAGGUGGUGGAGCCAUGUCUUAUGCCUGGUGAUAAAUGAAAAUGCUGAAUUUCCACAGGUAAUACACCUUAUAAUUCAGCAAACCCAGAUGGGACGAGUGCAACUAAUGCCAGGUUCAUUUAAACAUCAACUUCUGAGGUAAGGAAGAGAAGGAAGUAAAUGAAAACAGGGUAUUGACUCUUAAAUGUGACACCCUAGGGAGGCUGUUUGCAUAGUGGUUAAGAACACAGACCAGAUUUGCCUGCAUUUGAAUCUAACUUCCUUUAUUGACUAUGUGACUCUGGGCACAUUUCUUAUCUUUUCUUUGCCUCAGUUUUCUCAUCUUUAAAGUUGGAGGACAGUUUGACCUCAUGGGGUUAUUACAAGGAUUAAUUUAGUUUAUUAAAAGUACUUAGAACAUUGCCUGGCAAUAGUAAACACCACAUAAAUGUCAGUUACUAUCACUCAAAAUUAUAAUAAUGAAUAGAUGAAGGCUCCAGAAACAUUUUUAGUUUUUAGAAGUCUGAGGUUUUUUUUUUUUUGUAGUGUUUUUGAUUUUUAAAAGAUCACCAAUGGGGCUUGGAUUACUCCAAGAAAAACAAAGUAUGGCUUAAUACACUGAUAAAUGAGUUUUUAAGAGAGAAACCAUUUUGUAUGACCCAGUACAAGGAGUAAAGUUGACUCACAGGAGAUGUCUGGCUGGCAUGAAAACCAUUAAAGAAAAUCCUGAGCACGAUGUUGACCUCAACUCAGAAACACAUGCUUUACAUUAUCAUCCUAUCACUUCUUGAGCUCCUGGCAUGUGUCGCUGAAACAGACAGACUUGUUUUUGUAAUUUUUUUCAAGUAGUCAUUCUCUGUUAUUGCUUUUGAUUUAGAUAAACGACCUUCUAACUAACUAUUGGGAAACCUUUUGUAGACUUUAUUUGUGAUGGUUAUGUAAAGUGAUAGCUGCGAAAGACUGUCAAAAUCUCUCCUAACAGUGUGCUUUUCCAAAAGAAAGGCCAAUUUCUUUGAAAGUAAUAAUGAAAGGAUAAUAGAAUCCCAGAUAUAAGAAGGAAUAAGGUCUGUGAGCUCAUG
rnacentral:lncRNA from 1 species